UUCGCUUCACGGCCCUCAGGAGCUAAGAUCAAAGUGCAGUAUCUGCUCUUAUCAGUUUAAUAUCUGAUACUGGGUCCAUGUGGCCCCAAAGAUAUUAAAUGAAUUUUUGAAAAGUAGGUGGAAUCGUAAUAGCUUGCUGUUCGCCGUAAGCCGGGCAACGGCA
rnacentral:snRNA from 1 species